UGAUUUCACUAGGGGAGCCUGUUGGCUGAGACGAAAAUGGAUUUUCGGACCCUUGGAACCUGAUCUGGAUUAUACUAGCGGAGGGAAGUGGAGGCUGAAUUUU
rnacentral:ncRNA from 2 species